UACGAAGGGGGCUAGCGUUGCUCGGAAUCACUGGGCGUAAAGCGCACGUAGGCGGAUUGCUAAGUCAGGGGUGAAAUCCUGGAGCUCAACUCCAGAACUGCCCUUGAUACUGGCGGUCUUGAGUCCGGGAGAGGUGAGUGGAACUGCGAGUGUAGAGGUGAAAUUCGUAGAUAUUCGCAAGAACACCAGUGGCGAAGGCGGCUAACUGGUCCGGUUCUGACGCUGAGGCGCGAAAGCGUGGGGAGCAAACAGG
rnacentral:rRNA from 1 species